rnacentral:lncRNA from 1 species
GUCACCUGUUGACAUAAGUCCCUUAAUUUUAUUACUCAUUGUUAUUACCUAUUUUAGACUUUAUGGAAGUGAUUUUAAUUUUUAUUAAGUGAUAAUUAAAUUAAAAAUAUUCUUGACUCAAAGUGGUUUUCCAAAGAUGAGUUGAACAACCCAAGAAGUUAAUUUGCAAGAAUCUAUUUUUUUCAAGAAAUAAGAAAAGUAUGAAGUCCUUCCCGCAAGUUAGGCAACAAGAAAAUUGCAUUUUUUCUCCGGAAAUAGUUUUUAGACGAUUCUGGACUGCCUCUCCUCAUUUCGAUGCUAAUGUCAAAUAAGUUCAAUCUUCGGAAUCUAUUUCUUUAGUAAGCAAGGACUAACUCACCAAGAUAAUGAAAGAGCUAUCAUCCUUUUGGAUCAGGAUCUUUCAAGAUAAUACGAGUAUAGUCCAUUCAUGAAUUACUCAUUAUCAUGAAGCUGAGAAAAGGGACCAUCAUUUCUUCUAAUGAAAGUCAAGAUAAUUUUUAUUCAACAUCUAUUAAGAAUUUAUCAUCAUACAAUUGAUAGAAAUCUAAAUACUGGUAUGUUUAUCGGAGCCCUUUUAUCCCUUAUGCAAUGGAAAGAAAUAACUAUGUUCUAAUAUUUUGCUGUAAAUUUUCUAGCAUUUUUGAAUUAGAUACUCAGGACUGAUAUUUAUCACUUCGACUUUUAUUUUUUUAUGUUAAUAUUUAAUACAUACAUACAUAAUGAUAUCCAUAUGGUCCUUUUAAAUAUAUUUUUGUAUUCUGAAAUACAUUUCAAUUAAUUUAUAAAGUAUU